rnacentral:rRNA from 1 species
GAUGAACGCUAGCGAUAGGCCUAACACAUGCAAGUCGAGGGGCAUCACAUGAAGUAGCAAUACGGAUGGUGGCGACCGGCGCACGGGUGAGUAACACGUAUGCAACCUGCCUGUAAGCGGGGGAUAACCCGUUGAAAGACGGACUAAUACCGCAUAAUACUGGAGAUCUGCAUGGAUAUUCAGUUAAACAUUUAUGGCUUACAGAUGGGCAUGCGCAUGAUUAGAUAGUUGGAGAGGUAACGGCUCCCCAAGUCAACGAUCAUUAGGGGUUCUGAGAGGAAGGUCCCCCACACUGGUACUGAGACACGGACCAGACUCCUACGGGAGGCAGCAGUGAGGAAUAUUGGUCAAUGGGCGAGAGCCUGAACCAGCCAAGUCGCGUGCAGGAAGAAUGUCCUAUGGAUUGUAAACUGCUUUUGCAGGGGAAUAAAGUGAGCCACGUGUGGUUUUUUGUAUGUACUCUGCGAAUAAGG